GUCCUGCUGGCGCAAUGGUUAGCGCAUCCGACUUCUAAAUCUCUAGGGAUUCAGUAAUCGGAAGGUUGUCGGUUCGAGUCCGACGUAGGAUG